rnacentral:rRNA from 1 species
UGAGGAAGAUAAUGACGGUACUCAACAAGGAAGUGACGGCUAACUACGUGCCAGCAGCCGCGGUAAAACGUAGGUCACAAGCGUUGUCCGGAAUUACUGGGUGUAAAGGGAGCGCAGGCGGGAAGACAAGUUGGAAGUGAAAUCUAUGGGCUCAACCCAUAAACUGCUUUCAAAACUGUUUUUCUUGAGUAGUGCAGAGGUAGGCGGAAUUCCCGGUGUAGCGGUGGAAUGCGUAGAUAUCGGGAGGAACACCAGUGGCGAAGGCGGCCUACUGGGCACCAACUGACGCUGAGGCUCGAAAGUGUGGGUAGCAAACAGGAUUAGAUACCCUGGUAGUCCACACUGUAAACGAUGAUUACUAGGUGUUGGAGGAUUGACCCCUUCAGUGCCGCAGUUAACACAAUAAGUAAUCCACCUGGGGAGUACGACCGCAAGGUUGAAACUCAAAGGAAUUGACGGGGGCCCGCACAAGCAGUGGAGUAUGUGGUUUAAUUCGACGCAACGCGAAGAACCUUACCAAGUCUUGACAUCCUGCGACGAUGCUGGAAACAGUAKUUUCCUUCGGGACGCAGAGACAGGUGGUGCAUGGUUGUCGUCAGCUCGUGUCGUGAGAUGUUGGGUUAAGUCCCGCAACGAGCGCAACCCUUAUGGUCAGUUACUACGCAAGAGGACUCUGGCCG